CCCGGCAGCCCGUGCUCCUCAGCAAGAGAAGCCGCUGCGAUGAGAAGCCCGUGCACCGAACUAGAAAGCAGCUCCCGCUCCCCGCAACUAGAGAAAAGCCCUUACCGCGUGAAGACUCAGCACAGCCAACAAUAAGCCAACAAAUAAAAUUAUAAAACAGAAAAAGGAGCAAAGUAGGGGAAAAGAUUUUCCAUGGAGCCGCAAAGCAUCUAAGAAAUGGGGAACUGCGAUUCUGAAGCAUAAUCUAAGCACAGGAUCAGUAAAUAUUUGCAUACAUUCUAUGUAUUAAUAGAUCUUUUUUUUAGCAGAGUUACUUUACCAUAAUGGGUAUACUGGCUGGAGUAGGAGACUUGCCUCAAAGUCCUUUGUGCUUCCUGGCCACAGAGCAGAAAGUAAACAGAUAGUGAGGUCUCUGUCUCAGGUUUCUCUUAUAUGAAAUAGCUGUUCAAUGCACAGGGUGGUUGUGAUAGCGAAAUAAGAAAAUGUGAGUAAAAGUCCUUUGGAAACCAUGGCAGCACUAACCCUAUGCCGGGGAUUCUUACUGCUGCUAUAGUUAUUGCUGCUGCUGCUAAGUCACUUCAGUCGUGUCCGACUCUGUGCGACCCCAGAGAUGGCAGCCCACCAGGCAUAGUUAUUGCAGCUGAUCUUAAAUAAGUCAUGUUGUUUUCAGACAUCAUCCCAUAAUCCCUGGCCAUCUAAAGGUUUUCUUGCUGCAACAAGGAAAUGGCAACUCACUCCAGUAGUCUUGCCUGGGAAAUCCAUGGACAGAGCAGCCUGGCAGGCUGCAGUCCGUGGGGUCUUUGCAACUACACCACCACUCUGCAAGCCAGCAGAGUGCAAUCCAUAUCUUUGUCCUAGAGAUGUGAUAGACUAUGUGGGUGAGAGGAAGAGACCUCAAAGCCACCAGGGUCUUACAGCUUCUCAAAGUAACCAGGUGCCGAGACAGAUGGCCCUACAAAACCAGUCAGGGAUGUCGGAGGAGGAACUGAAACUAGCGUGUGCGCGCGAUCAGGGAGGUGAAAGCUCACGGUAGCACCCCAGGCCAAGCUCCACCACAGGCUAAAGGUCUUCAAGCAAGGCCAAGACUGCAGGUCCCUAUGCUUGGGAGAGGCUGCUACGAGGCUUCUCUUUGCCUGGAAUCCUUGGCAAAACUGCAGAGAGCCCAACUGGGAAGCUGCUGCCUGCAGGAUCCCAGUUUUCCGGCCAGAGAUCCAACCCCUGCCUGUUGCAGUGGGGUCCUAACCACGGGGCCACCAAGGAAUUCCCAAAAUAGACUAUAGUGCGCCAGGCUCCUCUGUCCAUGGGAUUCUCCAGACAAGAAUACUGGAGCAGAUUGCCAUUUCCUCCUCCAGAGGACCUCCCCACCCAUGGAUCGAACCUGCGUCUCCUGCAUUGGCAGGCGGAUUCUUUACCGCUGAGCCACCUGGUUUAGCACAGCAUAUAAUAAACUGUCAACUCUA